AGGUAACGAAGCCACUCUUGGAGACAUCUAGAAGAGGGUAUCUUGCUACAAUUUCAGCUUCGAGUUACUCUUUUGUCUCCCUGCUUCGGCACUUUCUUCCAAUAAUGAAUCCAGCGGUGCUUCAAUAUCUUUGACAUACAUAGCUUCCUAAAGGGCAAUCCCAGGAUACGAAGGUGGAAUGAGCUCAGCAAAAGCUGCAUUGGAGAGCGAUACAAAAGUGCUGGCUUUUGAACUGCACUUGCUUGCCACAAAGCAUCAGGUGCCCUCAAGAGUACUGGGAAGAAUGCCGACAAACUAAAAAAAUGGAGAGACUU